AUGUGCUUUUAAAGUCCUUGUGACAUUGAGUUACAGGGCUUUGACUCCUGGAUCUAUAAAGGACACCAAGUCCUGCUACAUCUUAAACACUGACAACAAUUAAAGCCUCAUCUUCAGGCGCAGUAGAAGAUGCCAAUCAAAAUAAAUUGCAUUCCUGAGACAUAGGGCCAGAAAUAAAAGCUAUUCAACUCCUCAAGGCCCCAGGACUAUUGUGGAAGAGGUUUCUGAUAACUUUGAAGACUGUGACAUCAGAAUAGAGGAAAAACUUUGAAAACUCAUGGAGAGCUGAAAUGUUCAUGAAUAUCAAGCAGAGCAGGAAUUAGCUGCAUGAACUGAACUAAUAGAAGACUGAAGAAUCAAACUUGACUUAUGGAGACAAUAAAAGCCCCUUGGGAAAACUGGCCUCAUACUUUGUCUACGCAGUGCCUGUACAGGGUUCCUGAUCUGUGGUAAGUAAAAAAUGUAACUUUCUGACAGGUCCAGGAGCCCCAAGUUUAUCUUGGGAUCUCAAGAGGAGAGAAAUUCACCCACGCAUAGGUGUUUGAUGGUACAAAUCCAUGGCUGGGUUUCACUUCAAAAAAAUAUUAUCUGAGAUUCCUUCUGUGGAA
rnacentral:lncRNA from 1 species